GACAGAGGAGCCAAGCGUUGUCCGGACUGACUGGGCGUAAAGCGCACGCAGGCGGUGCGGUUAGUGGGGUGUGAAAGCGGUCGGCUCAACCGACCGAGCCAUCUCAGACUGCCGCACUCGAGCGCUGCAGAGGGUGGUAGAAUUCCACGUGUAGCAGUGAAAUGCGUAGAGAUGUGGAGGAACACCGAUGGCGAAGGCAGCCCCCUGGGUCAAGAUUGACGCUCAUGCACGAAAGCGUGGGGAGCAAACAGG
rnacentral:rRNA from 1 species